GAGUUGAGAGAAUAUAAAGAAGAAGAUAAGAAAACUUCUUUUAAACACAUGCAAUCCCCAAAGUUAUUGUUUCAUCAAUCAGGAAUCAUAUAGGGGUCUGACAAAUUCCCUGAAAUAUCCACAAAUACUAACAAUUUUAAUCUCAAACUGAGAAAAAGGACAAUCAACCUUAGAAACAUGUAGUUAGGAAAUAAGUAAUGCUAAAUUUUAACUUAGGCACAAACAGAUUAGAUUGUCUCUAAGAAAAUGACAGCCAGCCUGUCACAGGGCAAUGCAACACUGAAUGUUCCAUACGUGGACAUGCCUUAAGUAGCUGGUUAUAUCAACAGCAUUGUUCAGCUGAACUUCCUUUAGUUUUACCCGUGUUGAAAUCAAAUAGCUAAGCAAUAAGCAUAUAGAUUUAUUCUUAUCACCUUUAAGACUGAGUUAAUUGUAUACCUUUUAGGUUCUAGAUGUACAUUUUGAAACUUAAGUUUUCCAUUCUAGAUUUCAUAAAAGUUUAUACAUACUGUAGAAGUUCCUGUGGACUUUUUGAUACUACUCUUCCAUAUUUUUGUUUCCUCCACAAAGGUCCCACCAGUGGGAUUAUUUUUGCAUUUCCAACAGCAAAAAAUAUUCAACGACAUUAUAAAUUAUAUUUGAAACUAGCCAACAGAAUUUUCAAACACUGUAAACAUGGAAAUCUCCCUAUUACCCUUAGGCAACAAUAAAGUAGCAUCACAGUAGUACACAGAUUCUAGAUGUUUAUAGUAUGAAACAAAACCUGAGUUUAGACAGGAAAGGACACUUUUUGAUACAUUUUUGAUGAGUUUCUGGCAGAAACUCAAUGGACAGAAAUGCAGAAAUUCAUACAAUUCUUUUCCAACUUCUUCAGGUGAACUAAUAUACCACAUAUCUACAAUAUCUUCAAGAGAAAUAAAAUGUAUAGUAACCAGCAAGUUAAAAACCUUGAAUACUUAACAGACAGUAGAAUAAUCAUGGACUAGGCGGAGUAAGGGUACAAUCUUGAAUGAAUCAUUGCUAGAAUACCAGUUAGAAAAAGGAAACUAGACCCAAACCAAAACAACAAAAUGCCAAAGGAACAGCCUGAUUUUGAAACAUCUUGAAAGGAGACUUUAACCUGGAAACAAGGAAGCCUCAUACAAUUUCAUAUGGGAUACUUUAGUAACUGUUGUACCAGACUGUAAGCCAGAGAGAUAGUUUCUCUGCUAAAACCAGAUCUUUUGAGUAGCAACAUAACGGUGGGUGUUUUGUCCGUCGUUUGAUCUGCCUGCUCUGGAGACAAGCUCAGCAGUAAGUGCACCAGAGAAGCUUGAUACAGCUUGCAAGAAUGUAAGUACACUAGUAACUUAAACCUGUGAAGACAUGUUUCUCUUGCAUAAUUAAUAUGCAAUUUGAAAAUGACAGAUUUCUACAAGUUAACUGAAAUAAAACUUUCACAACAAAGCUUCAACCUACAUUAGGCUGUUUGUCUUCCUUUCAAACUAUUCCUUGCCUUAACUUCCUUUUCAGCUCCUCAUGCUGCCUUUGUAAGCAUCCAUGUUUUCCCUCAGCAAUGAUUCUCAGCUUCCACAUCCCGUGCAGGGAUUUCGGGGAAUGCAUACCAUCACCCAGAAGAUACUCACAUCAGCACCAAACAUUUUGCUUUAUCUAGCCCUGAGCACAUAAAUUUAAGCAAGUGCUCCUGUACUCAGAUUUUUCAAAUUUCUUUACCUAGAAUGCAUGGAUGAAAUAAACAAAACCUAAGGUAUUUCAAUUAAUUUUACACAUUUUCUUCUCUCCAUAUUCCAUGUUCUUCUUGCAGAGUACUCCUCUACAUUUUUAAAGAAAAUAACCACCUAUUUCUUGUUCUUAAUGCUAGAAAUACAAGUAUUUGCCUAGCUUUACAAGAACUCCGGUAACUGCAGUAGUAAAGUAAGAACAGCACCAGCCUCAUGGAAUGAACACGGAAGUGCUCAAGGAAAAGACUAAUUCAGAGAGCGUUCAUAUCUCAUUUCUGCUAGCCACUUAAUUAAUAGCUGAGAAAAAACCAACCUCCAUUAAAGACUUAGCACCUCGUUCACUACGAAGAUUUAUAUCAAAAAUAUCAAGACUAGUAUGAAGUAAGUACACAUGGAAGUACCUGGCACGCCAAAAAUAACAGGGCCUGAUAACGAAAGACAGGAUCCACAGGAAGCAAGCUGGUAAACACUUUGCAACACACUGCUUGUAUCACAAGGCGGCCCACAAUCGAGUAAGGCCACAGCAAAGACGGUUUGUCAGCAGAAAACAAAUAUGCUCUGACAACAGGGUAAUGACAAGGUGACCACAUCUCAUGUGCCACUCCUCUUGGUGUUAUCCCAACAGGAAGACAGACUGUAGCCACAAAAAUUCCCAGAAGGAGGGAGCAAAGACACUUUUCAGCAACCUCGCCCCAGACUGAUGGCAGCUGAAGUAAGCACGAUUUUGAACGGUCUGAUUCUUAAAGGCAAUCUAGAAAACACUUCUAACCACCAGUCUGUCAUUGCCAAUCAAGCAGAGGCCAAAAGAUGAAGACUCAACACUGCGUUCCUUAUCCUCGGUGUUGCACACAAGUGAUCCUGGCCCUGCCACCUGGAUACGUGCAUCUUAGUGACUCAUACAUGGCUGUGACAGUGUGAGCAAGUGAAAACUGUGACCGAGUGAGAGAAAUCAGUUUUAAUACCACCUUCCCCUCCCAUGAAGUCUUGCACUAAGCUCUGCUGCACUAUUUUCCUAAACCACUAAUUCCAGCGAGAGCACUUCAGACAGUUACAAAUCUCCAAAGGUUCUCCAAGAAAAAUUUGGGAGAGCAAGACUCAACACCUGUAUGUUGAAAACCAGGCCAGAUGGGAACCCUGUACCAGAAUCCUUCUACUGUGUUUAGGCAGCCUAGUGACUGAUCCUCACUACCCACUUCCUCCAGAAGAACAAGAUUGCUUGUGCCUUGACUACUGCUGUACCAUACUUGGAGAAAUACUCAAGUGGAUUUCUAUAACCCAAAUCUCUGAAGUGGCGGAGUGUGCCAAUUAACCACAUGGAGGACCCAUGAAGGCCAGUAUUUUACAUUUUUACAUUUACUUUGACCUACAGCCUAUAUCAUCACAAGAUUCCUUUAAUCCUAAAGGCAAUUAAGUGUCACAAUCACUGUUGAGCAAAUACAGCUGGAGCUUGCAAAUCA